rnacentral:rRNA from 1 species
UACGUAGGGUGCAAGCGUUGUCCGGAAUUAUUGGGCGUAAAGAGCUCGUAGGCGGUCUGUCGCGUCGGAUGUGAAAAAUCAGGGCUCAACCCUGGACCUGCAUUCGAUACGGGCAGACUAGAGUUCGGUAGGGGAGACUGGAAUUCCUGGUGUAGCGGUGAAAUGCGCAGAUAUCAGGAGGAACACCGGUGGCGAAGGCGGGUCUCUGGGCCGAAACUGACGCUGAGGAGCGAAAGCGUGGGGAGCAAACAGG